UGGAGCGUCCAACCGCCCGGCGCGCCGCGUGACGAGGCCACAGGGCGUGCGCGGGCCGCCUGCACCGUCCCCCGCGCAGGCAGGAAGUAGUGCGCUCAGGGUUUAGGCUCUGCGGGUGGAUCCAGGUGCCGACUUGGCGGACACGGAGCUGGAGUCGCUGAUUCCCAGGUGAGAUGGGUGUCUGGAGCACAGACUACUGAGAACUGAGUACCAGCCGAGGCACAAAGGUGAAUAAGGCUGUCCUGGAUGAGAACAUUGGACUUGACCAUCACAGCUUACAUGGAUCAUUAUAAUCUUUGAGACUGGGGAGUACUAAAAUUUAUGCUGUAAAUAACAUGUUUUGAAACAGUUUUAAUGUGCUUCUUGAAAAUUUGUGUAGUGAUUAAGUGCCAGGAAGUAGCAUUUAAAAUUAUAUAAAUCUUAAAGACUGGUGUUUAGUGCUGUCGAUUCUAAUGGCCUUUUCAAAUGACAGGCUUACUCCAGGCCCAAGGAGGGCUUUCUUCCAAUGCCUCAUAUUUGGUGAACUAGUUUAGGUUAUGUUCAGGUAUUCAAAAAAGUUGACUGGAAGAACUGCCCUGGAAGCUGAGAGCACAAUGGUAAGCAAAACAGACCUUCCCUUUGGAACUUAACAGUUACAUGAAGGAAACAUUACCCUUAAUGUUCUAUUGAUGCACAAGGCUAGUCUCCUGUGAUAGGGUUUGAGUCAAGGAUAGUUACUUUUUGGCAAGACCAUUGGGAAACUUGCCUCUGGAGAGAGGCCAUGGAUUAGUAAAGGUAUAUGACCAUUAGUUCAGACACAGGUGGAAAGUGUUUGAAGCUGAAUAAGAUAGUUGUUAGGGAGUCAGGAGUGUUAAGGCUAAUCACAUUGGAGGCCAGGCCACUUAAUUAACGCUGCUUGAAACAGAGAAAUGAAUGAUGGAGACUACCAUUUACAAGAAAUGGUGUGAAAUUUGGGCACGUUGGAGGUUGCUACAAUAAAAUGGCAAACUGAAGAUCUGGUGAAGCUUAUGGAACUUGAUCCUGGGUAGGUGUGUAUGCAUGCACAGAAGAGAAGCUCUAGUAAAUGGGUAGAAUAGAAUGAGCUGCAAAGAAUGGUAGAAAUAGGCAGCGUAAAAUUUAUCCUUGGGACUUAGUGACAUUGAGGUGAUGCGUGAGAUAUGAAUUAA